CUCAGGACGAACGCUGGCGGCGUGCCUAAUACAUGCAAGUCGUACGCUUCUUUUUCCACCGGAGCUUGCUCCACCGGAAAAAGAAGAGUGGCGAACGGGUGAGUAACACGUGGGUAACCUGCCCAUCAGAAGGGGAUAACACUUGGAAACAGGUGCUAAUACCGUAUAACAAUCGAAACCGCAUGGUUUUGAUUUGAAAGGCGCUUUCGGGUGUCGCUGAUGGAUGGACCCGCGGUGCAUUAGCUAGUUGGUGAGGUAACGGCUCACCAAGGCCACGAUGCAUAGCCGACCUGAGAGGGUGAUCGGCCACAUUGGGACUGAGACACGGCCCAAACUCCUACGGGAGGCAGCAGUAGGGAAUCUUCGGCAAUGGACGAAAGUCUGACCGAGCAACGCCGCGUGAGUGAAGAAGGUUUUCGGAUCGUAAAACUCUGUUGUUAGAGAAGAACAAGGAUGAGAGUAACUGUUCAUCCCUUGACGGUAUCUAACCAGAAAGCCACGGCUAACUACGUGCCAGCAGCCGCGGUAAUACGUAGGUGGCAAGCGUUGUCCGGAUUUAUUGGGCGUAAAGCGAGCGCAGGCGGUUUCUUAAGUCUGAUGUGAAAGCCCCCGGCUCAACCGGGGAGGGUCAUUGGAAACUGGGAGACUUGAGUGCAGAAGAGGAGAGUGGAAUUCCAUGUGUAGCGGUGAAAUGCGUAGAUAUAUGGAGGAACACCAGUGGCGAAGGCGGCUCUCUGGUCUGUAACUGACGCUGAGGCUCGA
rnacentral:rRNA from 1 species